UACUAAAUUUUCGAUUCUUUUUGUUUUUCUCAGCUUUGGUUGGUACUGAACUGGAUAAAAUUAAAUUCUAUUUUAGAAUUAGAAACUUCCUGGGGAUUCUUUGGUUCCCUUUAUCUUCCUCAGUAUUGGGUCUUCUCGGUUGCAUUCUUCAGUUUGGAGUUGGAUGAGUUUGCUUCAUGUGUUUGGGUUUGGUCUAAAGGUGGGGCACUCACUUUGGAUGCUAUGUUGCUGGGUUGUUUCUGUGGUUUCCAUGAACUGGUUCAUACAUGGUGGAAUUGAAAAUACCAAGACUGGUUUUCUUGGUGAUGGUCGUAAGAUGUGGGUAGAAUGCUGGGAGAGGAUCUUGGGGAAGAGUUGGAAGAUCCACAAUUUUUAUUACCAGUCUAUUGGGUCAAAAAAAGUUAGAAUAGUAUGGUGGAGAAGGGUGUUGGCGUUGUGGUUGCUUUUUUGGGUCUUGGCAUCUAUGUGGGUAUUCUGGUACAUGAACGGACAAACUACUGAAAGGAGGAAAGAGGCUCUCGCUAGUAUGUGUGAUGAGAGGGCUAGGAUGUUACAGGAUCAGUUUAAUGUGAGCAUGAAUCAUGUUCAGGCUAUGUCCAUAUUGAUAUCCACGUUCCACCAUGGCAAGAACCCAUCUGCUAUUGAUCAGAGGACUUUCGCAAGGUACACUGAAAGAACUGCUUUCGAGAGGCCUCUCACAAGCGGAGUGGCUUAUGCUGUAAGGGUGCUCCGCUCUGAAAGGGAACAAUUUGAAAAGCAACAAGGCUGGACUAUUAAGAAGAUGGAUGAACUCGGGCAUAAUCCAGUUCAGAAGGAUGACUAUACCCCAGAAGCUUUGGAGCCAUCCCCAAUUCAAGAAGAAUAUGCUCCUGUUAUCUUUGCACAGGAUACCAUUUCUCAUGUGGUUUCUGUUGAUGUGCUUUCGGGAAAAGAGGAUCGUGAAAAUGUGUUGCGAGCAAGAGCAUCGGGAAAAGGAGUCUUAACUGCUCCUUUCAGGUUACUCAAAUCAAACCGUCUUGGAGUUAUUUUGACAUUUGCUGUUUAUAAGAGGGAUCUGCCCUCAAAUGCAACCCCAGAAGACAGGAUUGAAGCUACUGAUGGGUAUCUUGGUGGAGUCUUUGACAUUGAAUCACUUGUGGAGAAAUUACUUCAACAGCUUGCAAGCAAACAAACCAUCUUCGUCAAUGUGUAUGACACUACCAAUCCAUCUCACCCAAUCAGCAUGUAUGGUUCAAAUGUAUCAAAUGAUGAGCUGGAGCAUUUUAGCUCUCUUAAUUUUGGAGAUCCCUAUAGAAAACAUGAGAUGCGUUGCAGAUUCAAGCAGAAAUCACCGUGGCCAUGGCUAGCAAUAACAACUUCUGUUGCCAUCGCUGUGAUUGCAUCUCUUGUUGGACAAAUACUCUAUGCAACCGUGAGUCGAAUUGUCAAAGUUGAAGAAGAUUAUAAAGAGAUGAUGGAACUCAAAAAAAAGGCUGAGGCAGCUGAUGUUGCAAAGUCACAGUUCCUUGCUACUGUUUCUCAUGAGAUCAGAACCCCAAUGAAUGGUGUUCUAGGAAUGUUGGAUAUGCUCAUAGACACAGAGUUAGAUGGAACUCAACAAGAUUAUGUCAGAACUGCCCAAGGCAGUGGAAAAACUCUUGUUUCUCUUAUAAAUGAGGUUUUGGAUCAAGCAAAGGUUGAAUCUGGUAAGCUUGAGCUUGAGGAAGUGAGUUUUGAUCUGCGGGCAGUUCUGGAUGAUGUAUUGUCUCUCUUUUCUGGGAAGUCUCAAGAGAAAGGAGUAGAGUUAGAGUUGGCAGUUUAUAUCUCUGAUCGGGUUCCUAAAAUUCUAGUCGGUGAUCCAGUGAGGUUUCGACAGAUAAUCAGCAAUCUCAUGGGGAAUUCCAUCAAAUUCACGAAGGCAGGACACAUCUUUAUUACUGUCCAUCUUGUUGAGGAGAUGAUGGACUCUAUUGAAGUUGAGACUCUAUCAUCAUCAAAGAACACACUGAGUGGCUAUCCUGUUGCUGAUAGACGCCGCAGCUGGGAAGGAUUUAGGGCUUUCAAUCAAGAUGGAUCCACUUGUUCUUUAAAAUCAUCCUCUUCUGAUUUCAUCAAUCUAAUUGUGUCAGUUGAAGAUACAGGAGCAGGAAUCCCUCUGGAAGCCCAAUCUCGUAUUUUCACCCCUUUUAUGCAGGUUGAUCCAUCAAUUUCCCGAACACAUGGAGGUACAGGCAUUGGGCUUAGCAUAAGCAAUUAUUUGGUUAGCCGCAUGAAUGGGGAGAUUGGAUUUGUUAGUGUUCCGGAAAUCGGGUCAACUUUUACAUUUACCGCUGUCUUACGCAAUGGUUCCUCCAAUUCAAAUGAGCAACAGAGCCAGCAAAUGAAUGGGCAGUCUAAAUCUGUGUCCUCAGAACUCAAAGGCAUGACAGCAUUGCUUGUGGACCACAGACCUACACGGGCCAAGGUGUCAAGAUACCAUAUCCAACGUAUUGGAAUUCAUGUUCAAGUAGUUUCUGAUUUGAAUGAAGGUAUAUCUUGCAUAGGCAGUGGGAAUAUGGUUAUCAACAUGGUCCUUGUUGAACAAGAAGUUUGGGAGAGGGAUGCAAGUACUUCAACCCUCUUUACUAGUAACUUGAGAAAAUUUGAUCAUGGGGCUCCAAAAUUGUUCCUUCUAGCUAAACAUACCAGCUCUUCUAGAAUGAACACUACAAUUUCUGGUGUUUAUAGUCCAACUGUAAUCACGAAGCCCCUAAGGGCCAGCAAGGUUUCUGCAGAUCUUCAACGAGCCUUGGGUAUUGGGAAUAAGGGCAAUCCCAUUCCAAGUCUGUCUCUCCGUAAUCUUCUUAUUGGGAGAAAAAUUUUAAUUGUGGAUGACAACAAGGUGAAUCUCAGAGUAGCUGCUGGUGCUUUGAAAAAGUAUGGAGCUGAUGUGGAAUGUGCAGAGAGUGGAAUAAAAGCAACCAAUAUGCUUAAGCCACCUCAUCCCUUUCAUGCCUGCUUCAUGGAUAUCCAGAUGCCAGGAAUGGAUGGGUUUCAAGCUACAAGGAUUAUUAGAGAGGAGGAACACCGUUACAACAAUUCUAUUCAUCAUGAUGACAAUGUUUCAAACUGGCAUGUACCCAUUUUGGCCAUGACUGCAGAUGUGAUCCAAGCUACACAUGAGGAAUGCCUAAAGUGCGGGAUGGAUGGAUAUGUUUCAAAACCGUUUGAAGCUGUGCAGUUAUAUCGGGAAGUUUCUCGUGUUGUCCCAUUUGUUUGAGAUUGGAAUCUACAGAGGGGCUUUCUGUUGAAUGCGAAUGGAUAACAUUAGCACAAUGCACCUGUUCUCCAGGAUGCUUUAAUUGCUUAAAUGUGUUCAGAGUUCUUCCCAAGAGAAAAUAUUUGUUUUGUGGCAGAGAGUGUAUAUAGAAGCCAUGCUUGAUUUGAAGUGGGAUCGAGUCUUUAUUGAUUGCUCAAGAGCAAGAUACAACAGCAGUUCAGUUUAUUGAUCGAUUGCUGUGCAAAAUUGAAACUGUUUGAUAGGACACUAGAUUACUUAAGAAUUACAACUACUUGAAAAUGGAUAGGAAGAAAUCCCAAUUGAUUAAGGAGUGUGUAUUUAGAAGUAGGAGCUAUGCAGUAUUUCUGUCGUCUUCCCCCCUUCUAACAAUAAAAACUGCAACAAUUUCUCAGUCUUCGGGUUCUCUCUCAGCUGAAAAUGUGUGUAUGACAGAGAUUGAUUCAGUUGAAAGAAUUGAAGAAGGCUUUUCAUCAUCAACCACGGGGAGAAUGCGCCAUGUACAUAAUUAUUACAUUAAUAAAGAUGAUUAUUGUGUAAUUAUAGUCUCCAUUGUUAUCAUAUUAAUGUACUAAGGUCUAACGUUGCCAACAGCUUGGUGUACUAGGUAUUGAUGUAACUACAGUGACAGUUUAAUCAAAAUUUGAGUAAUCCUAUGAUUUUUGUCGGAUUUGUACA